rnacentral:rRNA from 1 species
ACGGGUACCCGCCUUGAGAGGGCGACCGGCCAACACUGGGACUGAGACACGGCCCCAGAUUCCUGCGGGAAGCAGCAGUGGGGAAUAUUGCGCAAUGGGCGAAAGCCUGACGCAGCGACGCCGCGUGGGGGAGACGGCCUUCGGGUUGUAAACUCUUUUACCACCAACGCAGGCUUCCAGUUCUCUGGAGGUUGACGGUAGGUGGGGAAUAAGGACCGGCUAACUACGUGCCAGCAGCCGCGGUAAUACGUAGGGUCCGAGCGUUGUCCGGAAUUAUUGGGCGUAAAGAGCUCGUAGGCGGCGUGUCGCGUCUGCUGUGAAAGACCGGGGCUUAACUCCGGUUCUGCAGUGGAUACGGGCAUGCUAGAGGUAGGUAGGGGAGACUGGAAUUCCUGGUGUAGCGGUGAAAUGCGCAGAUAUCAGGAGGAACACCGGUGGCGAAGGCGGGUCUCUGGGCCUUACCUGACGCUGAGGAGCGAAAGCAUGGGGAGCGAACAGGAUUAGAUACCCUGGUAGUCCAUGCCGUAAACGUUGGGCGCUAGGUGUGGGGACUUUCCACGGUUUCCGCGCCGUAGCUAACGCAUUAAGCGCCCCGCCUGGGGAGUACGGCCGCAAGGCUAAAACUCAAAGGAAUUGACGGGGGCCCGCACAAGCGGCGGAGCAUGUUGCUUAAUUCGACGCAACGCGAAGAACCUUACCAAGGUUUGACAUCACCCGUGGACUCGCAGAGAUGUGAGGUCAUUUAGUUGGCGGGUGACAGGUGGUGCAUGGCUGUCGUCAGCUCGUGUCGUGAGAUGUUGGGUUAAGUCCCGCAACGAGCGCAACCCUUGUUCCAUGUUGCCAGCACGUAAUGGUGGGGACUCAUGGGAGACUGCCGGGGUCAACUCGGAGGAAGGUGGGGAUGACGUCAAGUCAUCAUGCCCCUUAUGUCUUGGGCUGCAAACAUGCUACAAUGGCCGGUACAAUGGGCGUGCGAUACCGUAAGGUGGAGCGAAUCCCUAAAAGCCGGUCUCAGUUCGGAUUGGGGUCUGCAACUCGACCCCAUGAAGGUGGAGUCGCUAGUAAUCGCGGAUCAGCAACGCCGCGGUGAAUACGUUCCCGGGCCUUGUACACACCGCCCGUCACGUCAUGAAAGUCGGCAACACCCGAAACUUGCGGUGAGACCCUCCUGGCACAGUGAGAUCCGUCGGCGCUCGCCCCGCUAAC